UUGACAAUUGCAACACAAGCUCUCUCUCUCUCUUGCUCGCUCGCCACUAAUCUCAUUGUCGGCUCUCUCUCUCCUCUUCACCCCAAAUCCAACAGCCAUGGGUCACUCUCUCUUCCCCCGAGAGAUCCAGCAGCCGUGGGUCUCUCCUUCUCCAAAUCCAGCAGCUGCCGCUCACUCUCUCUCCCUCCUAAAUUCCAUAGCAGUUGUGGGUCACAGCUGCUGUUAUCUCUUCGCCAACUGUUGGAAAUUUCUUAUUAGAAUGUCUGACCAUGCAGUGAUUAUGUGUCUAACCCAUGAAUGAUUGUAUACCAUGCCUUUUCCUUGUUUUGGUUUUUGUUUUAUUCGAAUGAUAAUUGAUAUAUAGUUGCAUCGUUGUAUAAUAAUUCAGAUGGAAUCUAUAAUUUGGAGCUCAAUUUUAACCGAGUUUAUGCUUAAUGUUAUAUUUGAGUUUUAUGUUUUGUGUUUUCUUAAGCUGGGUGUUUCUUAUUCUAAAGUGAAGAAGAUGUGGCACUAAUUGUUGUGAGAGAUGAAAUCGACGGGGAAGACAGAGCGAGCCGACUAUGAGAAUGGUGAGGAAGAACGGAGUGCGGUUAGAUUGGUGGCUCCGGUGAGAUUUUAUUGACUGCUGCUAAAUAAUCCCUAAAUAAUUUGAAUAAUUAUUGCCCUCUACUCCUCAAUUUUUCCAUCUCUCUACAACAUAUAUUUUGGAACCAUGUAUAUGCAAAACAAUUCAUUAUUCAAAUGGGUUCAAUAUUUCCACUCAACCACCAACCGCGUUGUUCAGGACAUAUCCUUAAUUUAAAUGUUAAUUUUUUGCCAUGCACUCCCAAUUUUUCCAAUUAUCCAAACAAAACGUUAAAUUUCCACCAUCCACUUUUAUUAGCGACAAAUGAUUCCUAUCACUAAUCUAAAAUUCGAAUUACACUAACCUUAAAUUUUGUUAACCCAAUCCCUUCUGAUUCAUUCAAUACUGCCACGACAAACUGCAAGUCGUCGCAAGCCAAUUCAAAAAUCCCACACGGAAGCGCUGCCCCAGCCACAGUUACGCCUUGCCCACUUCAAUUUUCUUGCGUUCGAGAAACCGUUGUCAUCGGUCAAAAUGGCUAGUAAGGGUUUACAGCCCUUAACAGUUAUCUUGAACAAAGAAAUUGGAAGAAACUGGUUUCGAUGGUUGCCCAUUGUAAUUGACUUUUACCCCUUUCAAACCCCAUCCGUUGGAUUAAAUUAAUUAUAAUCUAACGGCUACACUGGAUAAUGACAAAAAAAAAGGGUACCAUGCCCCUCGGGCAUGGUAGCUGGACCCACAACUUAGAUAUUACAAUUAGAUUACAUCAAAUUAAUAACUAUGAAUUUGUGUUAAAAAUUUUAAAUUAAAUAUAAAGUCCAAACUUCCUGUUUAUAUGACAUAAUUUCAUUAGGUAGCUUACACAUACGGCAAGCAACACAAAAAUUGAGUCACCCUUCCUUUAUAAAUUCCUAAAGUGGGGCAGAUUAUUGACUAUAAAGAAAAGUCCUCUAUAUGCUGCAAAGCUAGAUGAGUCGAGUUUGACUUAC
rnacentral:lncRNA from 1 species